GCCUUCGUGGCGUAACGGUAGCGCACUUGGCGAGAAUUCCAGAUGUCCAUAUUCGAGUCCUGGCGAGGGCA
rnacentral:tRNA from 1 species